UUAGCCGCGUAUUUGCCUCUCGCUCACUCCUAUGGUUAGCUCGCUGUUUUCGUCGAUCUGAGUACUAGGUUUAACGUAAAAUCAUUUUGUCAAGUUCAGAGGCAACUUAUUACGAGAACACCAGUUUCCCACUUUUACUAGGUCAUUUUGAAGAAGUUCACUAUCGGAGAUUGAAUUCACAGACCUAAAUAUUUUAAAAUCGUCAGCAAACAACAUGAAUUCAGAAUUUUUUAUGCAAUAGCUUAUAUCAUUAAUGAAAAUGAUGAAAAGAAACGGACCCAAUGCACUUCCCUGAGGAAGGCCAGAAGUUGCCACAUACAGAGCAGAAGGGUCAACGACCGCGGAAGACGUAGGAUUGAGUCAAUGCAAUCUUCCAAGAAUUUAUUAUGAAGGCCCUGAUAUAAGCGCUCCAGGGCUUUCAAUUUGUCAUCGAAUUCGUCAAUUUUAGAAUGCGAAUCAUUUGCAACCACGCAGCUGUCACAUUGCCAUAGUAUGUUUGGAUUUAAUAAAAGUUUGAGCACAUCGUCCGAUAGGGCUACGCAAGAAUUAUGAUAAGUGCGACGGCACAAAGAAGAACAGCGAACAGCAUCCGAAGCGCGAAGCUGUGCCAAUGUAACAUAGGUAUUGCACUCGGGACUGCGGGGAAGUAACUUAGCGAGAAUUUUAAGCACGUCUGAACGCAAAGAAAGCUAGAUGACGAGUGGAUCUUUCUUGGAUCCAACCUAUCGGAUCUCUCAAAAACUUGGUGUCGGUCGAUGGCCACGGAGAACGCCCCCUUAUCCUUGAGCUGCCAGAACAAUUUUUGACACCUUCACAACACUGGAUACUUGGUCUAAUUCGUUACCUCACCCCAUUAUAAUUUCUAUAGGCAGUCAUUUUCUUUAUUUUCAACUUUUAAUUUACACGACUUUAUAAAUAAAAUUUUUUGCGUUAACGAUUGAUUUUUGACGAACGCCGUUAGCUGCGGUCCAAAAAAUAAGAAAUUUUGCUCGUGCAAAAGCGGUGUGGAACCAAAAAAUUAAAAAUGUAAAAAAUUAAAUGCAGAGAGAAAAAGGACGACUAAUCCAAACUGUUGCCCAUUAUUGUACGUUCUCUCCCUUUAAAUAAGUUUUGCUUAUGCCGAUCAGCUGUUCGCUUCAGGGAUUAUCCACAUGAACAAAAAUCUGCUUCAUUGCCAGGAUGCUGGGCUCCGGCUCCCACUUUCUCAACGCCCGAGUAGUCGCAUUGGAAAUCGGAGCUGAACAACAUGUGUCGGCAAGAAGCUGCCAAGAAUAUGAUGACGAUGCUUGAAACAACUAAUUAAAAUAAAAGUUAACUAAGUUAUCCGAGCGGCGGCAAUGACCGUUCGUUCGACAGCUCGCUCCGGCCAAAACUGCUGACACAGCGUCUGGCCGGAUGCCCAUGCAUAGCCGGCAAACACAGCAUAUUUGCGUGGCCGUUAUGAUUCCAAUUUUUGUUAGCCUUAAGUUCAGUUUCACUCUGAUUUCAAUAAAGAACAGACAUGCUUAAAUAUAACUCCGACCACCGUCGUUAACUUACUUAUCUCUUGGAACACUAACUGAGUCUCUAGGCCAGUAGUGAAAGGAAGACAGUCAUCUUCCCAACGUAAUCUUCGUAACUCAUCAGUUAGCGAGGAGCUAAACACCGGCCAACCGGCUAUUCACACGGAGGACCAGAAGUUGUCCACCGCCCCUAUAAUACAGGACAGCAGCGUGGGACCAGCAGCCGACGUGCGUAAUUCACACAACUUAAUAAUUUAUAUAAAAGCAUGUUGAAUAUUCGAAUUAUUUUUUUUUAAAUCGAUUAAAUUGAUAUUUCUAUUUGUCAACAAACUCAGCAGCUUGACAAGAGCCAUGCCACUUGCAUUGCGGGUGAACUCUAAAAACUACGGUCACACUACAAAGAAAACUAUGUUUCGGCUAGUGAAACUGUUACCGAUCAGAGUAUUUGAUUUAAAUACAUGCGCUGCAAAGGCAAGACUUGCUACAACUCCGCUUCAGCGUAAAGUAAAUAAGUCAAGUAUUUUUUUUUAGGAAUUUAGGAGACAUUUGUAAUUGACGUAGUGCAAUUUUUUUUGGAAAACAGAUAAUUUUUCGUAAGCUGUUGUAAGGACGUUUGUUGAAUUUGAAUAACAAAUGCGAGUUCGAUUCGACAAAAAAAAUACACACGAGGGGGAGAGAAUUAUCGAUAGCAAAAUUGUGUCCUAGACGGUACACGUUGAAAACAGUCUUUUCGAACUCUGGGGCUAUAAUAUUUUUCGAAGAGAAUGGCGAAUCUUGCCAGAACUCUUUGUGACAGCCACGUUUUAAUUUUGUUGGCUUUCAAAA